GGGAUUGUGGCUCAGCGGUAGAGCGCUCCCCUAGCACGGGCGGGACCUGGGUUCGAUCCUCAGCAUCACA
rnacentral:tRNA from 1 species